UACUGAUAAAAUAGGAGGGCAAAUCCGCCGAAUUUAAAGCAUAUAAGUAAGCGGAAGAAAAGAAAAUAACAAUGAUUCCUUUAGUAACGGCGAGUGAAUAAGGAUAAGCUCAAAUAGGAAAAUCCUUUAUAAGGUUAUAAGCCUUUUAUGGGAAUUGUCAUGUUUUUGAAGUACUCAAUUGUUAUUUUUAAUAAAUAUACACGAAGUGAGCAGGAAUGCUCCUCCAAAGAGGGUGAAAGGCCCAUAGUUUAUAUUUAUUAUUUUUUCAAUAGAUUAUUUCUUGUAGAGUCGUGUUCUUUGAGAUUGGAGCACAAAUGUGUGUGAUACAUUUCACAUAAAGCUAAAUAUGUGUAGGAGACCGAUAGCAAACAAGUACCGUGAGGGAAAGAUGAAAUAGUACUCAGGAAUGAGCAAUUAAAUAGUACCUGAAAUCGUUAAGAUGGAACGGAUUAAAAAAGAAAAAAAUUAAGGAGGAAAAAUAGUUCUUUUUUGGGUUAUUUUUCUUCUUUAUUAAAAGAAGCAUAAGUGAUAUUGGAUAAUUAAGAUAAAACUAUUUGAUGAAAAAUGAAUAUAAAUUUAUUUUUUAUCUUUCUUUUUUUUCCACUAAUGGUUAAAAAAUAUGGUUUUAUAAAUAUUUUUUAAUAUUAAUAAUUAUUU
rnacentral:ncRNA from 1 species